AUAAAGUUUUAUUUUGGCUAAAAAAUUUAUUAUUUUUAUAGUUUAUAUGUAAGUUUUUGCAAGAAUAAUAAAAAUUCUUAAUGAAAAUUUAUUAAAAAUUAUUCGCAGUAUUUAAUAUUAAUUAUUAAAGAAAUUUAGAAUUAGUAAUAAAUAAUAGUAUAGGUUAAUUUUGUGCCAGCAUCCGCGGUUAUACAAAAUAUACAAAUAAAUUUUAUUAUUAUAUAGUUAAUUGUAAAAUUAUAGAUGAGAAAUUAAAUUUUAAGGUAAAAUUUAAAUUUAAUUAUAAAUUUAUUUAGAAAAUUUUAUGAAGCUAUUAAAAUUUAAUAAAAAACUAGGAUUAGAUACCCUAUUAUUUAAAAAGUUAAAAAAGUUGAUAUGGUAGUAGUAGUUAUAGUCUUGAAACUAAAAAAAUUUGGCGGUAUUUUAAUCUAUUUAGAGGAAUCUGUCCCAUAAUCGAUAGUCCACGAUAAAUUUUACAUAAUUUUAUUUAAUUUGUAUAUCGUCGUUAUAAGGAAAUUUUAUAAGAAAAUAAAUUUUCUAAAAUUUUAAAUAAAAUUUAUUUCAGAUCAAGGUGCAAUAUAUAGUUAUGAGGAGAUGGAUUACAAUAAAUUUAUUUAUAAUGAAUAAUAAAUUGCAAAAUUUAUUUGAAGGUGGAUUUAAUAGUAAUUUAAAUUAAAUUAUUUAUAUGAUUAUAGUUCUAAAAUAUGCACAUAUCGCCCGUCGCUCUCUUUUUUAAAAAGAGAUAAGUCGUAACAAAGUAGAUGUACUGGAAAGUGUAUCUAGAAUGAU
rnacentral:ncRNA from 1 species